ACUAACUGUCUCUCCUGAUACACGUGAUGUUUUGAACCAGAUGUUUGGCUGAAUCUUUUGUUAGCAGUUGAGUUUGGGAACAUGUUCAAAUUGUAAGCAACACAGCAGUGGAGCCCUCAGCUUCCUGUAAGGGGAUAGAGAAUCCUCACUAGUUUGUCACCAACAGAUUCAGCCGUGUGAGGUACUGAGCUACAGAGAGAUGGGAGGCUUUUGUAAAAGUAAUGAGGUCAAUUAUUCACAUCAAAAACAAAAGAAGUCCAGUUUUCUCUUUUGUUGGAACAUAAAGAUCCAGAUCCCAGAGAAAAGACUGAACACGUGAGAAACUGACAAAUACAUUUCACCAAAUAUAACCAAAAUACAUUUAACUAUUCACACGAUGCUUAGUUUACCGCAAACAAAUCCGUUAGCUUGUGAGGCUUCAAACGUUCAAUCAUAUCCUGUUUAGUCGUGAUUUUAUGAGCUUCUCUUCCUUUCUGUUCCUCCCAGCUCUCUCUCUCUCUCUCUCUCUCUCUCUCUCUCACACACACACACACACACACACCCACACACACACACACACACACACACACACACACACACACACACACCCACACACACACACACACACACACACACACACACACACACACACACACACACACACACACACACACACACACACACACACACACACACACACACCCACACACACACAGGGAUCUGUGAUGAUUGAUACACACAGAAAAACUGGCUCUGUCCCUGCGUUUUGCUUGAGGCAGCUUAAUGGAGUGGAUGGUUAAAGUUUAUGAACUUUAUUUAUUUAACAGAAAGGAGUCUCAGUAGCAUGUGGAGAAACUACACACACACACAACCUGGUUCCUCCUCCUUCUCACCCUGGUCGUUGGUCUGACCACGCUCUGCAGUGGGCUUCUGCAGCCAGUGUGGUUGUGCUGGUCACUAAAGCCUAGUUUAUUAUACUAGUUCCUGUGGCGGCUGGUGAAUUAUGUUUUUGGUGGGCAGCAUUCAUGGUGUAUGUUAGACGUUAGAUGCGCUAACCACAUACCACCACUAGGGAACACCAAUUUACCAUUCUUAUGAUAGGACCCAUGUCGUCUAACUCAACAAUGACGCUGAAGAAAGGCGGUAGAGAAAAACACACAGUAGCAACAAUGCAACAUGAUCCUAUCCGCAGAAGCAGAGCUUAACUCAGAGCCCACGCUCUCCUCUCUACAACAAUAGAAGCACCAUUACUCUACCAGCAAAACUCAGCAGCAAAACAAACAAAGCUAAAUUCAUGAAGUCAAAAGCAUAAAUUCAGUCUCACCUUUGCUGGUCAUAAUAAUCCAUGUUAUAGUAAAUAAAUUCUUGUUUCGUUUAAUUCUAUGGCUGUCAUGUUCCUGGGCAGAGGUGAGUCACACCCUCUCCUCUCACCAGACUCUGAGCUAAUUCUCCACAGGUGAGGAGCAGGGGGAGCGGCAGCUGCAGGAGAUUUCCCAAUCAGGGACGCGGGUUCAAAAGGAGGAUGGAGACACAUCACUUUGCCGGAUGAUUGCACCAGUUUAGGAUCAUCUCAUCAUCUACUCACCCUCGCUGUCUUCGUUUUCUGGAACAUACUCAUCACGUCCCAUCCUCCUCCGCCGUUCCUGUUUGGCUUUCCCUCUGCUACCUCACCCCUCCUGGAUCUCUCAUCCUCUGCCCAGCGUCCUCCCCGGCUUCCCCUCCUCUACUGAUUAACCUGAGCACCUCAGAGACUCGAGCCGUAUUGCUCAUCCCACAGGACUUCCCUGUGCGGUUUCAGUUCCCGUUUUUAUAAUAAAGACAUUUUUCUUUACUGCUUUGGACUACGUGUGCUGAUUCUGCAUGUCUUGGGUUAGACACUUACCUCGAGCCAUGACAGAAUCAUCCGGCAAAGUGAUGUGUCUCCAUCCUCCUUUCUAACCCGCGUCCCUGAUUGGGAAAUCUCCUGCAGCUGCCGCUCCCCCUGCUCCUCACCUGUGGAGAAUUAGCUCAGAGUCUGGUGAGAGGAGAAGGUGUGACACCUCUGCCCAGGAACAUGACAAUGGCCCAACUUCACACUGAGCUGAUUUCUGACUUGUGUUUUUGUACCUGCUGGAGAUUUUACAAGUUUCUGAUGCCACAUUUCAUCAUUUACCACAUCUUCAUAAUAAAAGAAACUCCACGGGGUGUACUCAGCUGCUCUACAACAGCACAGGAUGGUGAGCUGUGGAGAAUUUCCGAUUCUGUCCUGACCUGAUCAGAGACUCCGCCCUGCCGGUCUUCUGCGUGUGUUUUCGUGGUUACAAUACCUCUGCGCCCAUAGGCUCUCCUAUUCUUUUUAUUGUAGGGGGGCAUCCAGCAUGCAUGCAGCAGUUAAAGCAUAGGUUAAUGGUAGAGAUUGCUACCCUGGCCUGCCAGACUCCUCCUCUGUUUAAUUCUGCACAGAGAAAGGCUCUGGGAACUCUCCUGUUUAAAUAACCCCGCCCCCUGAGAACUCUGACCGAGCCAAUCAGCGCUGAGCAGCGUUCGUCACACACCACAACGCCGAGUUUGUCAUAAACAUGGCGACUAAAGCAGCCUUCACUGCGGCCCUUUCCUCUGUUCUAAGUGACUCGGACACAUCUUUAAAACAACAAGUAGAAGCACUAAAACCUUUCUUCUAAACAAAGAUGUCUGCGCCGUCGCCAGACGCCAUUUUUCAUUACAGCUAAAAAACUACAGCGUCGCGCGGUACAGUCGGCAUUGCCGUCUCUUUUCUGAUUGGUUCUUUUUGAGCUGCCUAGUCCCGCCCCUCAUGUGCCUCUCUGCCUGUGAGUAACCAGACAGUCCAGGCUGAGAGAUUGCUGUACCCAAAAGGAACAGGAAAUACGUCACAAAACGGCUAGGUUGGGCUGAAAGUGUGAAAUAACAUUUUAUACUACACCUAAAUUCAGAUUAUACGCAGCACAGCAGAAUAUCCUCUGGGUCAACAGAGGGUCUUGUGCCCCCACGUCCGCUUAGAGAAGUUUUUAUAGCAGUUGCACUAUAGAUUUUGCACAUGAUCGACGUCGGUUUGGAUUCUUGUUUUGUGCCGACAGAUUAAAACAAAAAGGUUGUUCACCUGCUCUAAAGAGUCCCGGGAUGCCUCGGCGCUAGCUAACUACAGGCCGGUUCGUUAAGCUCCUUCUUUUAAAAAGGUGCACUCAGCAACUGGACUUUUUUAACAAGUUGAACAUUUUAAAGACCUUCCAGUCAGGUUUUAAAAUGUUGCACAGCACUGAACCUGCCCUGAUAAAGGCUUUCAAUGACCUUCUUUAGCCGCAGAUGGGGCCAGUCCAGUGCUGCUGGUGCGGCUGGAUCUCACAAUAGCAUUUGAUACUCUGGACCAGGGAGCGCUGCUCCGUCAUCUUGAGCAUCAUGUGGGAAUUGUUGGUCAAGUCCUGAACUGGUUUAGAUUUUAUCUCCAUGACAGGAUGGUUUGUGUAAGUAUGGGUGUGUUUUCUUCUGUCUUCUCUCAACUGCCCUGGGGGGUACCGCAGGGAUACUGGUACCCCAGUAGUUUUGAUUUACUAUCUGCCAAUGAGUGACAUCCUACAACUGUAUGGAAUUGGCUUCAGCCUUUAUGCCGACGACUGCUAAUUGUGUCUACCUUGAUGGCGCCGGAGACCACAUGAUAAGUAAUUUAACUGUUUGGCAGAAGUCAAGGCAUGGAUGGCAGAACACUUCCAGUGUCUCAAUGAAAAAAAAUGAAAAUGAAAAAGAAAUAAAUUGAGGCAGUGCUGAGUGGACCAAGUGGACACUUUCAUUUUUCUAGUGGAGACUGUGGUGAAUUGAAUUCCUACCUGGGUGCUCUGCAGUCAGUCUUUGACGUGCAGAUGGACAGCACAUCCUGCUUGGAUGCCCAUGUUGGUGUUAGGGUUACUAUUCUCUUCAUUUUACCACUUAAGACGCUUUCUAAAGUAAAGCUGUUUUUAUCCACACGGGACCUUGAAA